rnacentral:lncRNA from 1 species
AGCGGGAAUGCUGAGGGCAGCGGUGAGUGGGGAUCGGGAUCAGUGGGAAUCCUGAGGGCAGCGGUAAGUGGGGAAUUCUCAGGAAUCCUGAGGGCAGCGGUGGGUGGGGAUCAGGAAUCCUCGGGAAUUCCCAUCUGCCAGGGCCGGGAGCCCUGAGGGCAGCGGUGAGUGGGGAAUCCUUGGGAAUCCUGAGGGUGGGGAUCAGGAAUUCCCAUCUGCCAGUGCUGGACGGGGUACGCGUGCACUGGGACUUCGGAGGGGAGUAGUGAGUAGGGAUGGAAACCCUCAGGAAAUUGGGAUAGGGAAUUCCUUAGGAAGGGGUGAGUUGGGAUUGGGAAUUUCCAUCCGCCAGUGCUGAGCGGGAUUCGUGACUGCUGGGAUUCCUGAGGGCAGCGGUGAGUGGGGAUGGGGAAGAAUUGGGAUUGGGAAUUCCUUGGGAAGGGGUGAGUUGGGAUUGGGAAUUCCCUUGGGAAGAACUGGGAUCAGGAAUUCCUUGGGAAUUCCCUUGGGAAGAGUUUGGAUCAGGAAUUCCUUGGGAAGAGUUGGGACCAGGAAUCCCUUGGGAAGGGGUGAGCUGGGAUUGAGAAUUUCUUAUGAAGGGGUGAGUCCAGGAUGUGCCAGCUGGAAUUCCCUUUGGAAUUCUGGGAUGUGCCGCCUUCCCAAAAUCCUGCCUCCCAUAUGGGAAUUCCCACUGGAAAAGCUGCUCAGCCUUUGCUGAGGGCUCCACACAAGGGGGUAAAAAAUCCCUGUGGAAUUCCUGGCUGGAAUUGUGAGAUCCCUGGGUAACUGCUGGAAUCCAGAAUCCUGGAUAAUGUUAAGCUCAGACCCAGCCUUUUGAUCCUGUUUUUCCCAGAGUGCUCCCGAUGUCCUGAAGGGACUUUCUCCAGAGGAGGGAAUGAGAACUGCCAGCCUUGGACCAACUGCAGCUUUUUUGGGAAGAGCACGCUCCGAGCUGGCUCGGCAACGGAGGAUGCCCUGUGCAGCAGCCCUGGCCUGGAUCCCAUUCCCACGGGAUUCCUGGAAAACAGGGAUCCUGUUCCCACGGCGUUCCCAGAAAAUAGGGAUUCCGUUCCCACGGCAUUCCCGGAGAGCAGCUCCAACACAUCCGGUCCCAGGGAGAUUCCCGUGGUUUGUCGGGAUCCCGGCGGCCCCACGGAGCCCGGCUGGGGUAAGGCUGGGGAGGGAAUUCCUGGAUUCACACCAAUUCCAGGAUCCCACAUUUCCAGCUGCAGCUGCUUUCCCAGUAAGGGAAUUCCCACUUUUUUCAAAGCCUUUUCUCUAUUUCCCACAGCAUUCCAG